AACAAAAGAAAAAAAAAACCUUACAAUCCCAUUUUAUCUCCAUUAUUUUCUACACCAAAAUUGGGUCCCACAACCCGGUUCUUUGUCUAGAGGAUAGCAGUUGAGUACUAGUGGUGGUCUCGGUUAGAAUUGGUAAGAAGAUAUCAAACCUUUUGAAAGCUUUAAAGGUAAUAUUUCUUAAAACCCUAAUUUGAUUAGUUUAUGGUUACAUGUUAAUUGUGGCAAUUAAGGUAGAAAUUCGAUUUUUUUCCGCUGUGCAUGACUUAGAUCUAUCAAAAAUUUCUCCCAAUU
rnacentral:lncRNA from 1 species